UCAACCUGGUUGAUCCUGCCAGUAGCAUAUGCUUGUCUCAAAGACUAAGCCAUGCAUGUCUCAGUGUAAACACUUGUCUUGUGAAACUGCGAAUGGCUCAUUAUAUCAGUAAUGAUUUCUUUGAUGGUGGCGAAAGCACAUGGAUACCUGUGCGAAACGUAGAGCUAAUACAUGCGCAAGACCCCGCGUGGGAG
rnacentral:rRNA from 1 species